rnacentral:rRNA from 1 species
GAUGAACGCUGGCGGCGUGCCUAACACAUGCAAGUCGAGCGAUCUUCUUCGGAAGAGAGCGGCGGACGGGUGAGUAACGCGUGGGUAACCUGCCCUGUACACACGGAUAACAUAUCGAAAGGUAUGCUAAUACGGGAUAAUAUCUGCGAGUCACAUGACUUUUAUAUCAAAGUUAUUGCGGUACAGGAUGGACCCGCGUCUGAUUAGCUAGUUGGUAAGGUAACGGCUUACCAAGGUGACGGUCAGUAGCCGACCUGAGAGGGUGAUCGGCCACACUGGAACUGAGACACGAUCCAGACUCCUACGGGAGGCAGCAGUGGGGAAUAUUGCACAAUGGGCGAAAGCCUGAUGCAGCAACGCCGCGUGAGCGAUGAAGGCCUUCGGGUCGUAAAGCUCUGUCCUCAAGGAAGAUAAUGACGGUACUUGAGGAGGAAGCCCCGGCUAACUACGUGCCAGCAGCCGCCGCCG